GGUUAAGUUAAUAAGGGCGCACGGUGGAUGCCUUGGCACUAGGAGCCGAAGAAGGACGGGACUAACGCCGAUAUGCUUUGGGGAGCUGUAAGUAAGCUGUGAUCCAGAGAUUUCCGAAUGGGGAAACC
rnacentral:rRNA from 1 species